CCUACCAGCACUUUUCAAGAUACUUUCGACGUAUUCAUUGCGGUGAACAACGCGGUUGGGACAGCACACUCACGACGUGGGAAGGUCACAGAAAUGUUGAAAGACAUCAGAUUGGGCAUACGCUUCAGCCGUGCAACUUCGUCAUGUGCUCCACGGCUUUACGGCUGUGCCACUGUAUGUAAAAAAUGCUGAGUGAUUUUAAUAAAGAAUUUGCAGGGAAGUACAAUGUGUCGCACCUUGUUGACUCUUUUACAGAUGUGUGGAAACGUCGUAGCGUAUGAAUGUGAAUUAUGGAUCUCCAUGUGGCGUCGCCCGCGUCAUUUUCAAGAUUUUACCCGUUUUGAAGGUACGUAGUGAAUGUGCGAGGCAUUCACGUUCCUACUACGUGGUUAUCCAUGCGUUUCCCGUCUUCGCAGGCAAUAGGGCUGUUGAUAGAGAGAAUGCUAGGCUACUG